UCUCCAAGACAGGCGAAAAAAUGAACCUUUUGCUGCUUGGUACUUUUCUGUUUUUGUAUACUCCUAUAGCCUGGACAAGAGAUAGACAUUAUUACAUUGGAAUUAUUGAAGCAGUUUGGAACUAUGCCUCUGAAAAUGGAGAAAAGAAACUUAUUUCAGUUGACACGGAACAGUCUAAUCUCUAUCUUCAAAAUGGCCCAGAUCAUAUUGGAAGAACAUACAAGAAGGCCCUUUAUGUUCAGUAUACAGAUGGCACCUUUAGGAUGACUAUAGACAAACCAGUGUGGCUAGGGUUUUUAGGCCCUAUCAUCAAAGCAGAAGUGGGAGAUAAAGUAUAUGUUCACUUAAAGAACUUUGCCUCUAGGCCCUAUACUUUUCAUUCACAUGGGGUAACUUACUACAAGGAGCAUGAGGGGGCUAUCUAUCCUGACAACACCACUGAUUUUCAAAAAGCAGAUGAUAAAGUGUUUCCUGGAGAGCAAUAUUUGUAUGUGCUGCAUGCCAGUGAGCAAAGUCCUGGUGAAGGAGACAGCAAUUGUGUGACCAGGAUUUACCAUUCCCAUGUUGAUGCGCCCAAAGAUAUUGCAUCAGGACUCAUAGGACCUUUAAUACUCUGUAAAAAAGGUUCUCUAGAUAAGGAAAAAGAAAAAAAUAUUGACCAAGAAUUUGUAGUAAUGUUCUCUGUGGUGGAUGAAAAUCUCAGCUGGUAUCUAGAAGAUAACAUCAACACCUUCUGCUCUGAACCAAAGAAAGUUGACAAAGACAAUGAAGAUUUUCAGGAGAGCAACAGGAUGUACUCUUUGAAUGGAUACACAUUUGGAAGCCUUCCAGGACUCUCCAUGUGUGCAGAAGACAGAGUGAAAUGGUAUCUUUUUGGUAUGGGUAACGAAAUUGAUGUGCAUGCAGCUUUCUUUCAUGGUCAAGCACUGACCAGCAAGAACUACCGUACUGAUACAAUCAACCUGUUCCCUGCCACCUUAUUUGAUGCUUUUAUGGUGGCCCAGAAUCCUGGAGUCUGGAUGCUCAGUUGCCAGAACCUAAACCACUUGAAAGCCGGUUUGCAGGCCUUUUUCCAAGUUCGAAACUGUAACAAGCCUUCACCAGAGGCUGAUACCCAAGAGAGACAUGUGAGACACUAUUACAUUGCUGCUGAAGAGAUCAUCUGGGAUUAUGCUCCUUCUGGGACAGAUGUCUUCACUGGAGACAAUUUAACAGCCCUGGAAAGUGAUUCAAGGGUAUUUUUUGAACAAGGUGCUAUGAGAAUUGGUGGCUCUUAUAAAAAAAUGGUUUAUCGUGAGUACACAGAUGACUCCUUCAUGAAACGAAAACAGAGAGGCCCUGAUGAGGAACAUCUUGGAAUCCUUGGUCCUGUCAUUUGGGCAGAAGUAGGAGACAUCAUUAAAGUCACCUUUCAUAACAAAGGACCAUAUCCUCUCAGCAUUCAGCCAACGGGGGUGAGAUUCACUGUUGAAAAUGAGGGAACAUAUUAUGCUCCACCUGCCCACUCCCUGAAGGGAGGUGUGCCUCAUCCUCAAGCAGCUUCCCAUGUAGCACCCAAAGAAACCUUUACAUAUGAAUGGACUGUUCCCAAAGAAAUGGGACCCACUUAUGCAGAUCCUGUGUGCUUAUCUAGGAUGUAUUAUUCUGCUGUAGAUCCCACCAAAGAUAUAUUUACUGGGCUUAUUGGGCCAAUGAAAAUAUGCAAGAAAGGUAGCUUACUUACAAAUGGAAGACAGAAGGAUGUAGACAAGGAGUUCUACUUAUUUCCCACAGUGUUUGAUGAGAAUGAGAGUUUACUCUUGGAUGAUAAUAUCAGGAUGUUCACAGCUGCACCUGAUCAUGUGGAUAAGAAAGACGAAGACUUCCAGGAGUCUAAUAAGAUGCACUCUAUGAAUGGAUUCAUGUAUGGCAAUCAGCCUGGCCUCAACAUGUGUCUAGGAGAUUCCAUUGUGUGGUAUUUGUUCAGUGCUGGAAAUGAAGCUGAUGUACAUGGAAUAUACUUUUCAGGAAACACUUAUCUGUCUAAAGGAGAAAGACGAGACACUGCAAACCUCUUCCCUCAUACAAGUCUGACCCUUCUCAUGCAGCCUGACACAGAAGGGACUUUUGAUGUAGAGUGUCUUACAACAGAUCACUACACAGGUGGCAUGAAGCAAAAAUAUACUGUGAACCAAUGCAAGCAGCAAUCUGAAGAGUCCACCGUCUACCUGGGAGAAAGGACCUACUAUGUCGCAGCAGUGGAGGUGGAAUGGGACUAUUCACCAAGCAGGGACUGGGAAAAGGAACUGCAUCAUUUGCAAGAACAAAAUAUUUCAAAUGCAUUUUUGGAUAAGGAAGAAUUUUACAUAGGCUCAAAGUACAAGAAAGUUGUGUAUCGGCAAUUUACUGACAGCACGUUCAGAGAACAGGUGAAGAGAAAAGCUGAAGAUGAGCACUUGGGCAUCCUAGGUCCACAAAUUCAUGCAGAUAUUGGAGACAAAGUUAAAAUUGUCUUUAAAAACAUGGCAACCAGGCCAUAUUCAAUACAUGCCCAUGGGGUGAAAACAGAGAAUUCUACAGUUGUUCCAACACUGCCAGGUGAAAUUCGCAUUUAUAUAUGGCAAAUCCCAGAGAGAUCAGGCGCUGGAGCAGAGGAUGCCCCUUGUAUACCAUGGGCUUACUACUCAACUGUGGAUCGAGUUAAGGAUCUCUAUAGCGGACUAAUAGGCCCACUGGUUGUUUGUCGGAAAUCUUACAUGAAAGUAUUCAAUCCUAUAAAAAAAAUGGAGUUUUUCCUUUUGUUUCUAAUAUUUGAUGAGAAUGAAUCUUGGUACUUAGAUGACAACAUCAAAAUAUACUCUGAUCAUCCUGAGAAAGUAAACAAAGAUGAUGAGGAAUUCAUAGAAAGCAAUAAAAUGCAUGCUAUUAAUGGAAAAAUGUUUGGAAACCUACAAGGCCUCACAAUGCACGUAGGAGAUGAAGUCAAUUGGUAUGUGAUGGGAAUGGGCAAUGAAAUAGACUUGCACACCGUACACUUUCAUGGCCACAGCUUCCAAUACAAGCACAGGGGAAUUUACAGUUCUGAUGUCUUUGACCUUUUCCCCGGAACAUACCAAACCCUAGAAAUGUUCCCCCAAACACCUGGAACCUGGUUACUCCACUGCCACGUGACUGACCAUGUUCAUGCUGGAAUGGAAACUACCUACACUGUCUUACCAAAUCAAGGUGAAUAUACAGCAUACUCUCAGAGUUACAGGAUGACCUGGAACAUCCACUAUACACUCUUAAUCAGCAUGAUUAUUUUAUUCCACAUAUUUUAUUCCACCAAGGACUGGCCAAGAAAAUAAGGCUCCAGCUGACUGCCAUCCAUCAGGGCAGCUCUUACCAGCAGAUGAGCCUCACUGAGAGAAUGAAGGCUAAAGAAUCUGAAGAACAAUGGACAAAUGAGACAUCUGAAGGAAAAGGACAAAUCAUCCAGAAAAAAAAAUGUCCCAAAAAAAAGACUUAAUUGUCCUAUCAAUAUCACAUAUCUAACUGGAUAAAAUUUCAUAAGUCUUCCUAAAUGUUUGUUUCUGCUUUUCUCUAGAGACACAGAAUGCAAAUGGUCUUUAUGUAGUCCCAGUUCAAUUAAAAAAUUAAAGCUGGAUCUGGAGUUGGAGUGUGGCUUGCUCCUUCUCUAAAUCCAACCACACUUAUUAAAAAAAAAAUCAAAAAUUUCUGUAUCCUGUCCAAAGAGCCAUCUUAUUUGGGACAGAAAAAUACCCAAAAUUAAAGGACUAUUCAAUUGCGA